AUUGAACGCUGGCGGCAUGCCUUACACAUGCAAGUCGAACGGUAACAGGUUAAGCUGCCGGGUGGCGAACGGGUGAGUAAUGUAUCGGAACGUGCCCAGUCGUGAGGAAUAACUGCUCGAAAGAGCAGCUACUACCGCAUACGACCUGCGGGUGAAAGCGGGGGAUCGCAAGUCCUCGCACGAUUGGAGCGGCCGAUAUCCGAUUAGGUAGUUGGUGGGGUAAAGGCUCACCAAGCCGACGAUCUGUAGCUGGUCUGAGAGGACGACCAGCCACACUGGGACUGAGACACGGCCCAGACUCCUACGGGAGGCAGCAGUGGGGAAUUUUGGACAAUGGGCGCAAGCCUGAUCCAGCCAUGCCGCGUGCGGGAAGAAGGCCUUCGGGUUGUAAACCGCUUUUGUCAGGGAAGAAAAGGUUCUGGCUAAUACCUGGGACUCAUGACGGUACCUGAAGAAUAAGCACCGGCUAACUACGUG
rnacentral:rRNA from 1 species